rnacentral:rRNA from 1 species
UACGUAGGCAGCGAGCGUUGUUCGGAGUUACUGGGCGUAAAGGGUGUGUAGGCGGUUGUUUAAGUUUGGUGUGAAAUCUCCCGGCUCAACUGGGAGGGUGCGCCGAAUACUGAAUGACUAGAGUGCGGGAGAGGAAAGUGGAAUUCCUGGUGUAGCGGUGAAAUGCGUAGAUAUCAGGAGGAACACCGGUGGUGUAGACGGCUUUCUGGACCAUAACUGACGCUGAGACACGAAAGCGUGGGUAGCAAACAGG